rnacentral:tRNA from 5 species
UUGGGCUAUCGCCAAGCGGUAAGGCACAGCACUUUGACUGCUGCAUUCGCUGGUUCGAAUCCAGCUAGCCCAGUCC